rnacentral:lncRNA from 1 species
CCGGCCCAAUGCUUUUAGCCACUCUUUAUGCCCUAGUUCUCAAAUUUGACUCUUCGCCCCUCACCCAUGCCUUCCUUCUCUAGCCCCCUCAUGUUAGAUUCUCAAUUAUGUCCAUUUUUCCAUUCUAAUAUAUGCCUUGCCUCCCCUUCUCUCUUUUCAUGUGCAUGAGAGCACUGAUCUACCUUUCAUGGCCUCCCUAACUAAGCUUGCUUACAUGAUUGCAGUUAGCAACCUCCCUUAUAUGUGCAGAUUCUGUGAUAAUAAUGAUUCUCGUCUGUUGGAAAAUAUGUCCCAAAGUCAAUCG